ACCUCGCGUUAUUGGAGUGGCUAGGCCUGAUUAGCUAGUUGGUGAGGUAAAGGCUCACCAAGGCGACGAUCGUAGCUGGUCUGAGAGGAUGAUCAGCCACACUGGAACUGAGACACGGUCCAACUCCUACGGGAGGCAGCAGUGGGGAAUUUUGGACAAUGGGGGAAACCCUGUCCAGCCAUUCCGCGUGAGUGAAGAAGGCCUUCGGGUUGUAAAGCUCUUUCGAGG
rnacentral:rRNA from 1 species